AAUCAUUAGUCUUUUAAUUAAAGACUGGAAUGAAUGGUUGGACUGAAUAAUUAUGUCUCAUCAUUAUACUUCAAAUUUUAUAUUUUAGUAAAAAAGCUAAAAUUCAUUUUAAAGACAAGAAGACCCUAUCAAGCUUUAUAAUUUUAGUUUAACAUCAAUAUAAACAAAAGAUUAUUUUACUGGGGCAGUAAAUAGCUUAAUACUAUUUAGAUAUUAUGACUCCCAAUCUUGAAAUAUCAAAAAGUUUUUAAAUAGGAAUAAGUUACUGUAGGGAUAACAGCAUAAUUUUAUUAAAGAGUUCUUAUCAUCAAUAAAGUUUGUGACCUCGAUGUUGGAUUAAGGAAUCCUGUUUCACGCAAUAGUAAAAUUAGG
rnacentral:rRNA from 1 species